rnacentral:rRNA from 1 species
UACACUCCUGCGGGAGGCAGCAGUGGGGAAUAUUGGACAAUGGGCGCAAGCCUGAUCCAGCCAUGCCGCGUGAGUGAUGAAGGCCCUAGGGUUGUAAAGCUCUUUUGUGCGGGAAGAUAAUGACGGUACCGCAAGAAUAAGCCCCGGCUAACUUCGUGCCAGCAGCCGCGGUAAUACGAAGGGGGCUAGCGUUGCUCGGAAUCACUGGGCGUAAAGGGUGCGUAGGCGGGUCUUUAAGUCAGGGGUGAAAUCCUGGAGCUCAACUCCAGAACUGCCUUUGAUACUGAAGAUCUUGAGUUCGGGAGAGGUGAGUGGAACUGCGAGUGUAGAGGUGAAAUUCGUAGAUAUUCGCAAGAACACCAGUGGCGAAGGCGGCUCACUGGCCCGAUACUGACGCUGAGGCACGAAAGCGUGGGGAGCAAACAGGAUUAGAAACCCGUGUAGUCCCA